AGCGUGAUUUGGCACAUCCAUACUGUGGGUCUUCAAUUUGCCUUUCGUUCUCUUGGCUUCGGUCCGAGAGGAUGGGCCCAAAAUCUUGCCGCUCUUCUGGGGUUUUUCAAGCUUUCUCCACGCUGCCUUCCCUCCUAUUUCGAUUUCAGGUAGGGCUUCGGUUUUCUCAACAGGGAAUCAUCGCGAUGGCAAGAAGGGAGAGGAAGCGGGCGUUCCGUUCACGGAGUCUUCCAUGAAGCCAGAGACCGAUCGCAGAGGCUGGGCCGAGGGAGAACAUGGCGGUGCAGUUCGUGGAGCGACAGCGUGCGUUCGAUAGUCCUGAAGUGAAGAAGAACUUGGAGGCUGCAAACAUGCAAAUUUCUGAUUUUGUAUGUUAGAGUAAACAUCACCGUUUCAAACCUCUGAGUCUCAUUAUGUUUCCUCGAGGUUAGGAAAUUAUUUUGCUUCGAUCUUCCUGCAUUCUAGAUUUUGAUUGAACCAUCAAAAUACCAGAUGCCUAGAACAACAGACACCUCUAUAUUAGCUUAAGGCUAUAUGUUGGCUCGGAUGUUGACAAUUGUCUCAUGGGUUUGUUAGAUGCUUAAGGCGACUGGUAACCGAUUAUCUUUUGGCAUGACUCCCAAAACUUUAAGGCUACCAAAGCAUGGUGAGAUGCUUUUGUCCGUUCAUGGCUCCCCACAUGGAGCGUGCAAAGAAGAUAACUUGACAGCCUUACAUGAAUCUGGUAAUGGAAGCCAUGAUGGUGCCUCCUAAUAAUAUAAGAGGAGUGAGAUCCAUGCUGGAGUAAGUGGAAAGAAUGAUGUCAACUAUUAAAUCAGUAAUGUCAUUGUCUCUGUAGAGUGUUGUAAGACAUUUUUUAAAAGAUUUAUCUAAACUAACUAUUCUGCCAAUGGCUGACCUUGGUGCCAUACAACAAAGAGGACAUGCUAUUGCUCGCAAAGCAUCAUUCUGACAUUUGGCAAUGGUACUUUUUUCAAACGCUGUGAACCAUUGCUACUGACUCGAAGGUGCAUAUAACUUAUUAUCUAAUUGGCAGUGACAUCUGACCAACAUAGCCGCAGGAUUUUUGAUCUCACGUAAGUGUGGUGUAGUCGUACAUUUUGUAAAGUGCCGCACGUUCCAGCUGCUGAUUCUCCGAUGAAAUGUUUAGCUCCAGGCUGAAAUAUGGAUAUCUAAAGUAAAGGAUAUAUACGGGGAACGAAA